CCGGCAUUGACUUCAAGUCAAUGGAAAGCAACUCUUAUCUUGAUACGCUCUGUAUAUCACCCUAUGUACGGGAAGAUUACGCGGGACCAACAUAAAGAGCAUGCAAAGGAUGCUUCAGUAAGACGAACGUAUUCUCGACAGCCUGCAGGGUAAUGGCCCGCAGCCUAUGUCGAUCCAUGUCAGGCAAAGUUCUUCAGUGCAGUACGAUGUGCAGACAGCGAAUGUUACUCUGCAUUGUUCAGAAUUUGCUUGAGAUCACACUAUUUUGAUCGGCUAUUAAUUGGGCGGCACUCAAACAUCUUGACAUUUUGUUUUUUGUUUUUUUUUCCUUUUUAAAUUUGGCCACAUCUUGACCUCCUAAUAAAAUACCAGAAUACAGUAAGCUCAUUUUCGGGUGCAUCAAUAGAAAGCAAGAUUUUCCGCUUAUUAUGCAGAGAAGAUUAAGAAUCAAUGAAUAAAAUGGAGGUGAUGCAACCAACUAGAUUGUUUCAGGUAGUUCAGCACUUCGUCUCUUUAAGCACGGUGUCGGGUUUUAAACCUUGUGAAUGGUAAAAUAUGUAAAAGAAAUUGGAGAUGAUGCUUAAGGCAGUGGGUGCUCGUGCGGAUUUUCUUGGUGAUUAUGUGGAUGGCUAUGUACAUCUCUGUGCAUACUUGCAUGCAUGAAAUACUUGUCGGUUCAUCUAGGCUGGAGAUCGCUGCAGUUGCUGCUCCUACCGGGGCACUUGAUCCAUUUGUUCAUGCAGAGAAAAGUCUCGGGCUCAAGGGUCAAGAUCAGCAACCAUGCUGCCUUUAUUUGAUGGGCUUAAUACGCAAAUUUGAUGGAUGCCACACAAUUUUCCAGGGACAAACACGUACCUUCCUUACCUUGCUUGGCCGGCGUGGUCCAAUUAUGUAAUGGCAACUGUCGGAAGUCAAAGUCUUGUGCAUCACAGUGUGAAGAAGAUAUUCUGGACAUCUUAACUCCAGUAUCCAGGCUUCUCAUCAUAAUUCUAUAACAGCAGACACAAAGGUUUCAUAUGCAACGCAAGUGUAAAUUCACUAGGACUACUAAAUAAAUGACAUGUACAAACAGAGCCUCUUAUAAGACCUGCCUUUGCAGUCAAGUAACUCAGACUUUAUUGAUCACGAGAUAAAUGGAACUUGAUAAUAUAUUGAUAUA